rnacentral:rRNA from 1 species
GAUGAACGCUAGCGGCAGGCUUAAUACAUGCAAGUCGAGGGACAGCACAGGUAGCAAUACUGGGUGGUAACCGGCAAACGGGUGCGGAACACGUACACAACCUUCCUUUAAGUAGGGGAUAGCCCAGAGAAAUUUGGAUUAAUACCCCGUAAUAUAGUUGAAUGGCAUCAUUUGAUUAUUAUACCUACGGCGCUUAAUGAUGGGUGUGCGGCUGAUUAGAUAGUUGGCGGGGUAACGGCCCACCAAGUCUACGAUCAGUAGCUGAUGUGAGAGCAUGCUCAGCCACACGGGCACUGAGAAACGGGCCCGACUCCUACGGGAGGCAGCAGUAAGGAAUAUUGGUCAAUGGACGCAAGUUUGAACCAGCCAUGCCGCGUGAAGGAUUAAGGUCCUCUGGAUUGUAAACUUCUUUUAUUUGGGACGAAAAAGGGCCUUUCUAGGUCAACUGACGGUACCAGAUGAAUAAGCACCGGCUAACUCCGUGCCAACCGCCGCCGUAAAAC